rnacentral:rRNA from 1 species
UACGUAGGGUCCGAGCGUUAAUCGGAAUUACUGGGCGUAAAGCGUGCGCAGGCGGUCUUGUAAGCCAGAUGUGAAAGCCCCGGGCUCAACCUGGGAACUGCAUUUGGGACUGCAAGGCUGGAGUACGGCAGAGGGAGGUGGAAUUCCACGUGUAGCAGUGAAAUGCGUAGAGAUGCGGCGGAACACCGAUGGCGAAGGCAGCCCCCUGGGCUGAGAUUGACGCUCAGGCACGAAAGCGUGGGGAGCAAACAGG